GAUGAAGAACGCAGCGAAAUGCGAUAAGUAGUGUGAAUUGCAGAAUUCAGUGAAUCAUCGAAUCUUUGAACGCACAUUGCGCCCUUUGGUAUUCCUUAGGGCAUGCCUGUUCGAGCGUCAUUUAAACCUUCAAGCUAAGCUUGGUGUUGGGUGACUGUCCGCUUCACGGCGGACUCGCCUCAAAAUUAUUGGCGGCCGGUACAUUGGCUUCGAGCGCAGAAGAAACGCGAACUCGGGCCCGUCGUAUUGGCUCCCAGAAGCUAUCUUCACAAUUUUGACCUCGGAUCAGGUAGGGAUACCCGCUGAACUUAAGCAUAUCAAUAAGCGGAGGA
rnacentral:misc_RNA from 1 species